rnacentral:lncRNA from 1 species
UAUUAAAAUCACAUAAAACACUAACAUUAACAGAAAUCAUACCUCAGAUUUGUCAAGGUAGCUUUAAUGAUGUUCCAAGUGUCUUUGUGAUAGCACUUACUUGUAAGCAACGUGUAUGUAUGAUGUAUUUGCAUAUGAGUGGACUGUAUAGGGACAGGUGCAAGCAAAAUGUUGCCUCUUUUACAAGACAAACACAUGGAAUGGUGCAGUCAAUUCACCCAAAAUGUAUAUGAAACAUUUCCUCUUAUGUUAAAAUUGCUUUCGGGAAAGCUUCUUUGUGACUGCCAAUCAACUAAACUCAAUGCUUUUGUACAAAUAGCAAAUAAAAUAACAUCCACACAACUAACUAUAUUAACUUAUAUCAUCCUUAUUUUUUUAAAAAUUAGUUAGGACGGUUUUUUUAAAAUUUAUUAUAACUAUAAAAAAUAAAGAGAAUUAAAAAAAAAAGAACUUUGAUUAAUGUAAAUGUGCGAGAAAGAUAUCGGCCUAUGGACAGUUAUGUGGGGCCUUCACUUUCAUUUUUUUUCCACUUCUCUCUUCAAUAACCUAACCCAGUCACUUUCAUUUUUUUCCACUUCUCUCUUCAAUAACCUAACCCAGUCACUUUCUUUCUAAGCAAACUUCCACAAGCAACCACAAGGAAUCUCUAGCAAAAACAACCCCCUUCUCUUUCACCAUAGUUUGAUCAGUGAUCAUUACCGUUGGCCAAGAUUUAUCCAAAGUAACACUAUAGCAAUCAAACAUACAGAUUAUAAAAAUCUAAAAGAAAUCACAACAGGAAACCUAUGAAACAAGGCAUGCUCUUAAGUGGGUCCAUCUGGACCCACACCCUAAUUGUCACCUUUUGCAAAGAUAAGAUCACAAGCCAUGCAUCAUAUCAUACUUGUUAAGUGAUAUCAUUAGGGCUUAGUGCUUAAUAAUUGCUAAUGCUUAAUAAUUGCUAGUGCUUACAAAUAUUCAGUAAAUAGUCAAAGAAAUCAGUAGGAACCUACUUGUGGUUUACCAUUUGCCUAAUUUGUUAAAGAAACUGAAUUUGACUAGAUUGCAGUACAUUUUCUUGAGCUGGAGCACAGCUCUUAUGAAACCAAUUAGAGUGGCUAAUACACUGUUUUUUUCUGGAAUAGCAAGCACUUCCAAUGACAUUAUAUUGGGUAUGAGAACCAGACAUGAAAAUGAAUUGUUUGUUUCCAUGUUGAAGUUGAACAGACAUAUUAACUUGUUAACAGAUUUUUAUGCAGUGUUCAUAGUUAUGGUUAGCAAAUUGUCUUUAUAAAGUGCUAAUGGGGCAGCAAGGGAGUUAUUUGGUUGCCUUUAAGCUAAUCCUCGACAUAACUUGUUUUUGGAUGGUUUAAUUCUUGACUGAAAACCAGCUAUAUAUGUGUCUAGGAUAACAUGCUAAAAAGCUGCAUAAAUAACACUAUAGUAAAUUUCAAAAAAAAAAAAGAGAAAUUAAAUGCACCUUAAAUGCUAACACAAGGGAGCAAGGUAAUCAAAUGCAGCAGAUGACAAACAGUGACUUCUUCAGUUUCACAUCAAAGCUUCUGCAGAAGUCGUUCAAAAUCAGGUAAGCCAAAAGUGAUGUAUCUAAGACUCUUAGUACAAUAGCUAGACUCACCAUAUUGGCUUCUCAAAAUUCCUAAUUUCACACAAUUCUUGGAAUCACACUCUUUCAACACAUUUAUAUAAAAAAAAUCAAAUAUAACUUCUAAAUUUAAGAAAUAGAAAAAAAAAAUCAAAGGAAUCAAAGUGAUAAAGUAAAUAUUCAAAUUUACAAAGUAAGGAUUCACUUACAGAGUUAAGGAGAGAGAAGCAAUAGAAAUCCAAGAGAGAAAGCGAAGGAGUGAGUGAGCGAGAGCGAGCGAGAGCGAGCGAGCGAGAGAGAGCAGGGAGGAGAGGAGAAGGGGGAGAGAGAGCACAAGUGAGUUAGAGUAAGGGAGAGGGAUGUCGGUCAAUAGGAAGUGAGUAAGAGAAGAAUUGUCAGUCGAUCGGCACAAUGAGUGAGGGAAAGGGCUAUCGGCAGUAAGGGUGAGUGAGGAAAGUGGCUGUCGGCAGUAAGGAGAGUGAGUGAGGGAUGCAAUGUGAUUUUAGAAUUAGGGUUUCAAUAUAAAAUUGUAUUUUUUAAAAUUAACUUAAUAUAAUAGAUAAUAAUAAUUUAAAUUGAGUAGAAUUAAUAAUAAUAACUUAA